CCCUAGUAUAAGAAUUAUUAAUUAGUAAGUGUUUGAAACUAAAAAAUUUUGGCGGUUGAUUAUUAUUUAGAGGAGCUUGUGGUAUAGAAUUUACUCUUUAUAUUUUACCAAUAAUAAGUUUAUUUAUCUCGUCAUUGUCGGGAGAGUUUUAGAUGCUGAUGUUUCAGGUCAAGAUAUAGCAAGUAUUGGAAAAAUUAGCUACAUUUAUGCAAUAGUGAAUUUGGGGGAGGGUUCUCCAAUGAAGUUGAAUUUAACAGUAAUUGAUUUUUAGAAGGAAAUUGUGAAUGGGGGGUAGAUCAAUGU
rnacentral:rRNA from 1 species